AUUGAACGCUGGCGGCAGGCCUAACACAUGCAAGUCGAGCGGUAGAGAGGUGCUUGCAUCUCUUGAGAGCGGCGGACGGGUGAGUAAUGCCUAGGAAUCUGCCUAGUGGUGGGGGAUAACGUUCGGAAACGGACGCUAAUACCGCAUACGUCCUACGGGAGAAAGCGGGGGAUCUUCGGACCUCGCGCCAUUAGAUGAGCCUAGGUCGGAUUAGCUAGUUGGUGAGGUAAUGGCUCACCAAGGCGACGAUCCGUAACUGGUCUGAGAGGAUGAUCAGUCACACUGGAACUGAGACACGGUCCAGACUCCUACGGGAGGCAGCAGUGGGGAAUAUUGGACAAUGGGCGAAAGCCUGAUCCAGCCAUGCCGCGUGUGUGAUGAAGGCCUUAGGGUUGUAAAGCUCUUUUACCCGAGAUGAUAAUGACAGUAUCGGGAGAAUAAGCUCCGGCUAACUCCGUGCCAGCAGCCGCGGUAAAGUG
rnacentral:rRNA from 1 species